AAACGAGAUCACCAGGCGCCGGAACGACUUUAAUAACUGUCUACAAGUGAAUUGUCUAAAAUCCAGUAGAGUGGUUUGAUAACAAUCUUUAACAGUUAAAAAAAAAAGAGAGAGUUAAAACGGCAAGUCGUUUUGAGAACCAAUAUAAGCCCAGUUUCUGAUCUGGAAACCCGGGCCUAAGAUAAGUUGAAACUCCCUUUCUUCUUCAUCACCAAGCAAAGUCAGAGAUCCCAGAUCAUAUCAGAUCAUCUACCUGUUCCAUUUUUCACCAAAUCAAACAGUGACCUUUUCAAAACCCUAAAUCUCUGCAUUAUGAGCUCUCCACCCAUUCUCGGAGGCGCGAGCUUGUUUACAGGGUUCACGAAGCUAUGCAAAGGUCUCGCGGUGGUUCUCGUCGCUGGUCACAUUGUUGUUCAGAUUUUCCCCUCCGCUGUUAACUAUCUUGCUCUUAUUCCUGCCAGGACGAUUCCUUUUGCAUGGAACCUCUUAACAGCUGGUUACAUCGAACAAUCGAUAUAUGGAGUGGUUGCAAGCACUUUAUGCCUCCUCAUCAUGGGAAAGCUUCUUGAGCCAGUAUGGGGUUCUAAGGAGUUCUUAAAGUUCAUUUUCAUAGUCAACUUUCUUACCUCUGUCUGUGUUUUCAUUACUGCGAUUAGCCUGUACUACAUAACAAGGCAGGAAAAUUACCUUUAUAUGCCCAUUUCUGGCUUCCAAGGGAUCCUGGCAGGUUUCUUGGUUGGUACCAAGCAAAUUAUACCUGACCAAGAGCUGUCUCUAUUAAGAUUAAAGGCAAAGUGGUUUCCGUCUCUUAUGCUCUUGAUAGCUAUUGUUAUAAGCUUCUUUACUGCAGAGUCAGCAAAAUAUCUUCCAACCAUAAUAUUUGGCACUUAUAUGAGCUGGAUUUACUUGAGAUACUUUCAUAGGAAACCAGAAACAAAACUAAGGGGUGAUCCAAGUGAUGAUUUUGCAUUCUCAUCCUUCUUCCCUGAAUUCCUCAGGCCAGUCAUUGAUCCUAUUGCAUCAAUAUUCCAUCGGAUGCUUUGUGGUAGAUUCGAAACGUCUACUGAAGCCCACGGUCACACCUUGGGAGGUGCUCCAUUGCCUGGUUCUGAUCCCAUCGAGGCAUCUAGGAGGAGAGAAAGAGGAGCUAGAGCACUGGAAGAGAGAUUGGCAGCUGAGAGGUUGGCCACUGCACGGAGUGCUGAAGAGUUGAAAAAGGAUGUCUCAGAGAAUGUUUGAUUGCUCGACUUCACUUUCAAACAUAAACAACAAAUGCGAAAUUGUAUCUUUUAUGACCACUUCAGAGUUUGUGCAGUACUUGGAAAGAAGUCUUUUUGAAAUCCUGAAGAACUAUCCCUGGGAUGGCUUUGCAGAAAUAGAUGGAAAUUUUUUAUCUGCCAACGGAGGCUGCUUUCCCAGAAAGAUGCGUAACCAUCAAGAUUUUGUCGGUGGAUGGGCUUUUGUUUCCAGCUAGGACCCAUUUUUUAUUACAGGUGUUGAAACUCUAUGCAACUGUUCAUUAUUGGAUCACAAUUUAAGAUUGGUAGACUGCUUCGAAAAAUAAGGUUUGACACGAGCAUUCUUUUGAAUUCGCUGGGAUGGACACAAUAAUGGAAUUGGUUGGGAAGAUCCGAAUCUCAA